rnacentral:tRNA from 2 species
GGGCCUCUAGCUCAUGCAUGGUUAGAGCAGCGGACUCAUAAUCCGUUGGUGCUGGGUUCGACUCCCAGGGGGCCCACCA